rnacentral:rRNA from 1 species
GACGAACGCUGGCGGCGUGCCUAAUACAUGCAAGUAGAACGCUGAAGGAGGAGCUUGCUUCUCCGGAUGAGUUGCGAACGGGUGAGUAACGCGUAGGUAACCUGCCUGGUAGCGGGGGAUAACUAUUGGAAACGAUAGCUAAUACCGCAUAAGAGUAGAUGUCGCAUGACAUUUGCUUAAAAGGUGCAACUGCACCACUACCAGAUGGACCUGCGUUGUAUUAGCUAGUUGGUGAGGUAACGGCUCACCAAGGCAACGAUACAUAGCCGACCUGAGAGGGUGAUCGGCCACACUGAGACUGAGACACGGCCCAGACUCCUACGGGAGGCAGCAGUAGGGAAUCUUCGGCAAUGGACGGAAGUCUGACCGAGCAACGCCGCGUGAGUGAAGAAGGUUUUCGGAUCGUAAAGCUCUGUUGUAAGAGAAGAACGAGUGUGAGAGUGGAAAGUUCACACUGUGACGGUAUCUUACCAGAAAGGGACGGCUAACUACGUG